rnacentral:rRNA from 1 species
UACGUAGGUGGCAAGCGUUGCUCGGAAUCACUGGGCGUAAAGGGUGCGUAGGCGGGUCUUUAAGUCAGGGGUGAAAUCCUGGAGCUCAACUCCAGAACUGCCUUCGAUACUGGCGAUCUUGAGUCCGGAAGAGGUGAGUGGAACUCCUAGUGUAGAGGUGGAAUUCGUAGAUAUUAGGAAGAACACCAGUGGCGAAGGCGGCUCACUGGUCCGGUACUGACGCUGAGGUGCGAAAGCGUGGGGAGCAAACAGG